rnacentral:rRNA from 1 species
GACGAACGCUGGCGGCGUGCUUAACACAUGCAAGUCGAACGGAAAGGCCCUGCUUUUGUGGGGUGCUCGAGUGGCGAACGGGUGAGUAACACGUGAGUAACCUGCCCUUGACUUUGGGAUAACUUCAGGAAACUGGGGCUAAUACCGGAUAGGAGCUCCUGCUGCAUGGUGGGGGUUGGAAAGUUUCGGCGGUUGGGGAUGGACUCGCGGCUUAUCAGCUUGUUGGUGGGGUAGUGGCUUACCAAGGCUUUGACGGGUAGCCGGCCUGAGAGGGUGACCGGCCACAUUGGGACUGAGAUACGGCCCAGACUCCUACGGGAGGCAGCAGUGGGGAAUAUUGCACAAUGGGCGGAAGCCUGAUGCAGCAACGCCGCGUGCGGGAUGACGGCCUUCGGGUUGUAACCCGCUUUCGCCUGUGACGAAGCGUGAGUGACGAUAAUGGGUAAAGAAGCACCGGCUAACUACGU